UGUUACAAAUUUCAUCAAUUUGUACUGUUAAAAACUGACUUGAUUGACGAAAUAAUUAGGCAGUAACACGUGGCCAUGCUAAUGUAUGGAGACCAGUUUUUAACAGAAAAAAUGGAUGGGAUUUUUAGCA
rfam:Gossypium hirsutum cultivar TM-1 chromosome 17, whole genome shotgun sequence